AGGAGAAAAAUAUCCUAGAGCUUUCCCAAAUAAUACAAGGUGAGUUCCUGCUCAAUUCCAUUGAUUAUUACAUCAAACUAACAAUGAUUGACACCAAAUUAUCUUCCAAAUUCCUAAAUUGUAAACAAUUCCAACAAAAUGCAAUUCAGGUGGAAUUUUUGUAUUUUCUUCAAAGCAUCAGAUGCAUGUUGCGCUUUGGGGGUAACAAGCUUGGUAACGGAGCUCUAGGAUUAGAAGUGCCCUUGGAUUGUCUGUGGAGCUGUGUCUACCAAGGUACUCUUGAUGCAGACUGGCCAACUAUAUGGAUGAAUGACUACCAGGACAUUAUAGGUGUUUCUUACUCUUCUUGAUUCUAUAUUGUACUGUAGAGAUUGAACUUCUCUUUAAGAUCAUUUUGACAUAUGCAAAAAUAUUAUAGACUUGUGAUGCAGCUGCUAAACAAGUGAGCAUUGGUACUA